UUGUCGAAGGCAGGAUGUGCUGUUCUGUGCCUCCCUCACCCCUACUGUCAUGAUGCUGACUGAGAGAAAAGCAGACGGCCUGUUAAGUGAUACAAGGCGACAGAGAUGGCAACACAAGGAAGGUUGCUGCUGCUGCACUCUUUGUCGAAGGCAGGAUGUGCUGUUCUGUGCCUCCCUCACCCCUACUGUCAUGAUGCUGACUGAGAGAAAAGCAGACGGCCCGUGAAGUGAUAUAGUCUAGUGGAAUCCAGUAGAAUCUUGUUUUAUGGUCCACUUCAUGCUUUUUGAUGGAUUUGGUAUCUCCAAUAGUAAUAAUUACAGAUCUGAUUGAUGCCACUCUGGCACCCUUGGGGAAUUUGAAAUAUUCAAGAUGGCCACCAGAACAUAUAAAUGGCCAUAGAUAAGGCUCUAAUUGAGAUAGACUUAUGUUUUUUGUAUCUAAUAUUAUGUUUUCAGGGUCAAGGAAGUUGAUUAUUUUAAUAUUUUAUAGAUUGGUACAAUUUUUCUUCCUAAUUUUCAAUGUCUGCCAAAAUGGCCUCCAAAAACAUACAAUUGGCGACAAUUCGGAUCCUAAUUUUGAUAGGCUUGUAGUUUUUGUGCCAAGUACCAUAUUUUUAGGGUCUAGGGCUCUGCAUCUGACCAGAUUUAAAGACAUUUUACAGUUAUCUUAUUUUUUUAUUAAAGAAGACCAAUAAAAUUGUAAUAAGAACUUAUAGUUUGCAAUAAGUCAAAUGACAAUUGUCAUGACUAUAAAGCUUUCCUAUCUAACAUGAAGUUCACAUUGCCCAGGAACUUCAGUUUGGCAAUAACUGAAAAGUCUUCACAUUUCUUCUCUUUGAUUGUCAAGCAAGACACUAAGAAUUCUAUGAGAUACAUAAAAUAUAAUGUAUGCUGGCAUAUUGGUACAUGUUCAAUAAAUAAUAAUUUAAUAUAAUAACUGUGACAAAG